ACAUAUAUUUGGCACACUAAUUGAAAGAUUAGCUCGCAAAGCCUUGGAAUCUAAGAGUCCUUUGACUUAUGAUCGUCCGGCUGCUAUU
rnacentral:ncRNA from 1 species